UAGGUUAACGAGGCGAACCGGGGGAACUGAAACAUCUAAGUACCCCGAGGAAAAGAAAUCAACCGAGAUUCCCCCAGUAGCGGCGAGCGAACGGGGAGCAGCCCAGAGUCUGAAUCAGCUUGUGUGUUAGUGGAACGGUCUGGAAAGUCCGACGGUACAGGGUGAUAGUCCCGUACACCAAAAUGCACAGGCUGUGAACUCGAAGAGUAGGGCGGGACACGUGGUAUCCUGUCUGAAUAUGGGGGGACCAUCCUCCAAGGCUAAAUACUCCUGACUGACCGAUAGUGAACCAGUACCGUGAGGGAAAGGCGAAAAGAACCCCGGCGAGGGGAGUGAAAAAGAACCUGAAACCGUGUACGUACAAGCAGUGGGAGCACCUUCGGGUGUGACUGCGUACCUUUUGUAUAAUGGGUCAGCGACUUAUAUUCUGUAGCAAGGUUAACCGUAUAGGGGAGCCGCAGGGAAACCGAGUCUUAACUGGGCGUUAAGUUGCAGGGUAUAGACCCGAAACCCGGUGAUCUAGCCAUGGGCAGGUUGAAGGUUGGGUAACACUAACUGGAGGACCGAACCGACUAAUGUUGAAAAAUUAGCGGAUGACUUGUGGCUGGGGGUGAAAGGCCAAUCAAACCGGGAGAUAGCUGGUUCUCCCCGAAAGCUAUUUAGGUAGCGCCUCGUGAACUCAUCUUCGGGGGUAGAGCACUGUUUCGGCUAGGGGGUCAUCCCGACUUACCAACCCGAUGCAAACUACGAAUACCGAAGAAUGUUAUCACGGGAGACACACGGCGGGUGCUAACGUCCGUCGUGAAGAGGGAAACAACCCAGACCGCCAGCUAAGGUCCCAAAGUCAUGGUUAAGUGGGAAACGAUGUGGGAAGGCACAGACAGCCAGGAUGUUGGCUUAGAAGCAGCCAUCAUUUAAAGAAAGCGUAAUAGCUCACUGGUCGAGUCGGCCUGCGCGGAAGAUGUAACGGGGCUAAACCAUG
rnacentral:rRNA from 1 species